rnacentral:rRNA from 1 species
CCGCCCGUCACACCAUGGGAGUGAAUUGCACCAGAAGCGAGUAGGCUAACCGCAAGGAGGCCGCUCACCACGGUGUGUUUCAUGACUGGGGUG